UACGUAGGGUGCGAGCGUUGUCCGGAAUUAUUGGGCGUAAAGGGCUCGUAGGCGGUUUGUCGCGUCGGGAGUGAAAUCCACUGGCUUAACUGGUGGCUUGCUUUCGAUACGAGCAGACUGGAGGUAUGCAGGGGAGAACGGAAUUCCUGGUGUAGCGGUGAAAUGCGCAGAUAUCAGGAGGAACACCGGUGGCGAAGGCGGCUUGCUGGGCCUUACCUGACGCUGAGGAGCGAAAGCGUGGGGAGCGAACAGG
rnacentral:rRNA from 1 species